AUGAUAACUAUGAAAGAAAAUCACGGGUAUUACAGAAAGCAUCAGGUAAAGAAAAUAAUUUAUGUUGCAGGGCCUGCACUGGUGGGGAGAAGGGCAACUGGAAAUAAUUAUCAAUCAGUAAAAAUUAAAGAGAUAAGGAGAGAGGUCCCAACAGAAGCACUGGGCUUAGAUACAUGCUUUGAGAUAGGAGAAAGCAUGGGCCAUGCAAAGAACUGGGGAAGUCCCACUGGUGAAGUGUAUUGUAGGAGGGGAGAAGGAUGCUGGGUGAGGCCAGAGUGUUUGGAAAGAAACAAAUUAUUUGCCUCAUAUACUGGAAUAAAGAGAUUUAAUUUUAUCCUGAGUGCAACUGCAGUAUUUGAAGAGUCCACUUUGUUCCCUUUUUGCAGUUUAAAGGCUCAUUGGCUGAUAUCUCAAGAAUGGACUGGGGAAGGAGGAGUGGGGACAUUUACUGUGUUUCAAACUCCUUUCCUCUGAAAAACAUCUAUAAAGAAGACAACCAUGAUGAUGAUGACAAUGAUGGACGGCUCCUGGCAUUUAGAAUUUUGUAAGCAGAACCACUAUAUUUUACCUAAUGCAGAUUACAUUUAGAUUUCUUCAAUUAAAAAGAAAACACAUCUCAGCUGCCUGUGUCUUACAGGGAAAAAUCUGUUGAAUCACACUUGCUGCGUAAAACAGCUGAUACCAUAUGGCCCCCAUGGCUCCUGAGGGGGAAGAGUGUGAGGAACAGGAAAUCCCUGUGAACUGUCCAUGAUGUUUGACAGCUAAAUGCGUAGGUUUUACAUACAAGUUGGUCUCAAAGUGCUUUUAUAUCACUGAAGUUCCUUGUUUUUCUUUCUAAAUCUCUACAUAUUCGUGUUCCUUAUUUUACAAGAUCUACAACCACACAAUACCCUUUUAUUCUCUCUUCUUCAUAUAUAAUAGUAAAAGCACAUUUGUGACUUUUUUAUUCCCAAUGAGAGUGAGAGCUUUACAAAUUUACUUGCUCAAUUCAUUAUUUAUUGACCACCUACUAUGGACCAGGCUUUGUUCUAUAGACACUAGGAAUCUAGUAGUAAAUAAAUCAUAAAUUCCUGUCCUCA
rnacentral:lncRNA from 1 species